rnacentral:lncRNA from 1 species
GGAGGCUCUUAUCACAUUCUGCUAAUGGUAGAUGUAUGAUAAAUAAAAAUACAAUAGUAAUUCCUAAUACAAAAAACUUAUUUUUUCUGAUAAUAAAUAUAUGGUUUGCCCAAUAAUUUAAUACAUACAUACUUAAGUUGACUAGAGUAGAGUAUAUAACAUGUCAUGGCAUUUUCUAUAACAUUGAAUUUUUAAAACAACUACAUGCAUUGCUGCCUAUCUGCUUUAAAGGUAUCACUACAGUAAAAAUAUAUAGGAUUUAAGAAUGAAAUGGACACAGAUCAUUUCCAAUUUGAAUGACCUAUUCCAUGCCACUUUUCGGAUGUUAGAUGGCACAUCUUUAAUUACCUGUUAUAAAUGGAUUAAACUUAAAAUUGAUAUAUCAGUAAUAAGCAUGCAUUUAUCUUUUUGAACAAAGAAAAAUAUCAUAAUAAGAAGAAAAAAACA